CGCACAUUGCACCUAUUAGUAUUCUAGUAGGUAUGCCUGUCCGAGCGUCAUUUCAACCCUCAGAGCGGCUCCGGCCGCACUGGUGUUGGGGUUCCCCCGGCCGUCGCGCCGCGGGCCCCGAAAGUCAUCGGCGGUGCCUGCCAGCACUCCGGGCGCAGUAAAAUAUCUCGCCAUGGACGUCUGGCGGCGCAUCAGCCGCUAAACCAGCAGGGCCGAAAGGCGCUGCGACACCCCACAGGUUGACCUCGGAUCAGGUAGGAAUACCCGCUGAACUUAA
rnacentral:misc_RNA from 1 species